UCACCAUUUAUUAUAACAUAUUUUAACAUACACUUUAUCUGCUAAUGCAAUAUUAUAACUAACAAUGUAGACCUAUUUAACAUUUCAGCUGACAUUUAAAGUGUUAAAAUUAACAUUGAUACAACACCAGUCAUUCUCCAACAAACAUUUAUAUAUCAUUCUGCAGUUAUUUGCAAUGUUGCCUAUUAUUUGUCGGUGUUUCAUUACACUGUUGCACCUGUACUUGUGUAUGGCUUUAAUGAGUAAUAAUAAUAAUAAUAACAGUAAUUAUAAUAAUAAUUUAUUCGUAAAAUAUUCAUACAUAUGAACACAUUACUGAGGCAAAUAUGAAGAUACAUGUGUACAGGUGUCCAGUAGUACAGGGAUACAUGUGUACAGGUGUACAGUAGUACAGGGAUACAUGUGUACAGGUGUCCAGUAGUACAGGGAUACAUGUGUACAGGUGUACAGUAGUACAGGGAUACAUGUGUACAGUAGUACAGGGAUACAUGUGUACAGGUGUACAGUAGUACAGGGAUACAGGUGUACAGUAGUACAGGGAUACAUGUGCACAGUAGUAUAGGGAUACAUGUGUACAGGUGUCCAGUAGUACAGGGAUACAUGUGUACAGGUGCACAGUAGUACAGGGAUACAUGUGUACAGGUGUACAGUAGUACAGGGAUACAUGUGUACAGGUGUACAGUAGUACAGGGAUACAUGUGUACAGGUGUACAGCAGUAUAGGGAUACAUGUGUACAGGUGUCCAGUAGUACAGGGAUACAUGUGUACAGGUGUACAGUAGUAUAGGGAUACAUGUGUACAGGUGUCCAGUAGUAUAGGCGCACAGGUAUACAAGGUUACAGGUUUACAGUAGUACAGGUGUACAGGUAUACAAGGUUACAGGUUUACAGUAAUACAGGGUUACAGGUGUACAGGGGUUGUUGCAUGGCAAAUAGCGCCACUAACACGCAAAACAUUUCAGGCAAAGGUUGGCAUAACUGAGAAAACAACGUCAUGUUAAAAUGAGGUAAACAC